AGUUGGCUAUAUGACUCCUACCACCUGCUGCUGCUAAUUUGUUCCUGGGUCGACCAUCUGACCUUCUGCCCACGAAAUGAAACAGUGAAACACUCCUUCUGCCAACAGAGUAUUGCCAGCACGAAACUUAAUGAAUAAAUAAAGACCAGAGAAUACAGAUCCCAAUUGCCCUCCAGACCACAGCCGGUGCUGUCACAGAGGGCUUCGGCAAUCCAAAGGAAUAAAGCUGAACCAAGUAACAAGGGGAUAAGCUGAAGCAAUCUCCAAGAGUGCAUGCUAACGACCUUCUGGAAGUUAUUGUUAUUUGGAAGGCCCUAAGGAAAUUAUAUCUUUAUUGAAGCAGGUGAGGAGCUGGAUGCUGGAGAGGGAGCUGUUCUGUGGUGUCAGUUUCCUCCCCUAGAAUCCAUAAUGCUGAAAAGUGGGACCAUCUGGGACAUCAGUGACUGCAGCCGCCUCCAGUUCUAGACACAUGGCUCCAUCUGAUUCAGUCAAGUUGGAAACAGAAAAUCACCUUGAAGUACAUGUUCCUUGUUCUGCAAAGGAUGCUUGAAUCAUGUUCCUCCACCAUCUGCUGGUCUCCCUCAAGGGUUUGGUCCUGCAAAAGCAUUUUCAAAAAAGUAAAAUCAAGAGUCAAAAAGGAACACAUCAAAGAUUUUAUGUAACCCAUUGAUUAAUGAAGAAACCAGAAGGUGUUAGAUUCAGGGAGAAUUUGAAAAAUAGACGUAUAUACUCAGGAAUGGGCUUCCCUGGUGGCUCACACAGUGAAAGGCCCACCUGCAAUGCAGGAGGCAU
ensembl:lncRNA